rnacentral:rRNA from 1 species
GGUGAAGAAGGCCUUCGGGUUGUAAAGCCCUUUUGUUGGGAAAGAAAUCUUGCCGGUUAAUACCCGGGGAGGAUGACGGUACCCAAAGAAUAAGCACCGGGUAAAUUUGUGCCAGCAGCCGCGGUAAUACGAAGGGUGCAAGCGUUACUCUGAAUUACUGGGCGUAAAGCGUGCGUAGGUGGUGGUUUAAGUCUGCUGUGAAAGCCCUGGGCUCAACCUGGGAAUUGCAGUGGAUAAUGGGUCAGUAGAGUGUGGUAGAGGGAUGCGGAAUUUUCGGUGUAGCAGUGAAAUGCGUAGAGAUCGGAAGGAACAUCCGUGGCGAAGGCGGCAUCCUGGGCCAACACUGACACUGAGGCACGAAAGCGUGGGGAGCAAACAGGAUUAGAUACCCCGGUAGUCC